rnacentral:rRNA from 1 species
UACGGAGGGGGCUAGCGUUGUUCGGAAUUACUGGGCGUAAAGCGCACGUAGGCGGCUUUGUAAGUUAGAGGUGAAAGCCCGGGGCUCAACUCCGGAAUUGCCUUUAAGACUGCAUCGCUAGAAUUGUGGAGAGGUAAGCGGAAUUCCGGGUGUAGCGGUGAAAUGCGUAGAUAUCCGGAGGAACACCGGUGGCGAAGGCGGCUUCCUGGACCGACACUGACGCUGAGGCGCGAAAGCUAGGGGAGCAAACGGG